rnacentral:tRNA from 1 species
GCAUAGGUAGCUUAAAUGUUAAAGCAUUAGUCUUGUAAACUAAUUUCAAGGGUUAAAACCCCUUCCAGUGCU